rnacentral:rRNA from 1 species
ACUACGGGGCGCAGCAGUGGGGAAUAUUGCACAAUGGGGGAAACCCUGAUGCAGCGACGCCGCGUGAGUGAAGAAGUAAUUCGUUAUGUAAAGCUCUAUCAGCAGGGAAGAAAAUGACGGUACCUGAGUAAGAAGCCCCGGCUAACUACGUGCCAGCAGCCGCGGUAAUACGGGGAGUGCAAGCGUGAUCCGGAUUUACUGGGUGGAAUGGGAGCGUAGACGGUAGUGCAAUGCUGGAGUGAAAGGGUGGGGCUCAACCCCCGGACGGCUCUGGAAACUGGACGGUUGGAGGGCAGGAGAGGUAAGUGGAAUUCUUAGUGUAGCGGUGAAAUGCGUAGAUAUUAGGAGGAACACCAGUGGCGAAGGCGGCUUACUGGACUGUAACUGACGUUGAGGCUCGAAGGCGUGGGGAGCAAACAGGAUUAGAUACCCUGGUAGUC